GACGUAGGGUGCAAGCGUUGUCCGGAUUUAUUGGGCGUAAAGAGCUCGUAGGCGGCUCGUCGCGUCGACUGUGAAAACCCGGGGCUCAACCUCGGGCUUGCGGUCGAUACGGGCGGGCUAGAGUUCGGUAGGGGAGACUGGAAUUCCUGGUGUAGCGGUGAAAUGCGCAGAUAUCAGGAGGAACACCGGUGGCGAAGGCGGUUCUCUGGGCCUUACCUGACGCUGAGGAGCGAAAGCGUGGGGAGCGAACAGG
rnacentral:rRNA from 1 species